UGUGUACUCCCUCCGUCCAACAAAGGAUGUCUCAACUUUGACCAAAUUUGAAUGCAUCUAUACACUAAGUCAUGUCUAGAUACAUCCAAAUUUCGACAAACUUGAGACAUCUUUUGUUGGACGGAGGAAGUAGGUU
rnacentral:pre_miRNA from 1 species